rnacentral:snRNA from 1 species
GUGCUCGCUUCUGUAGCACAUAUACUAAAAUUGGGACAACACAAAGAAGACUAGCAUGGCUCCUGUGCAAGGAUGACAUGCAAAUUCAUGAAGUGUUCCACAUUAAA